AUUCAGUCGGCCUCGCUACUUUCCUAAGUGGAAAAAGGGUUCUCUCAGGCCAUUUCCUUGAGCCGUUCCGCUGCCAUUCGACCACCACCGCCACGGCGGCGCCGAUGCCGACUACAACCACUCGCAGAGACUACCGCCUCCAGCCCCGCUGCUUCUCAUCUCCACGCAGCCGUCCGAUGGCCAAGCGGCUCGCCGGUGCCGACAAAGAGGUAGGGGGCGGCACGCUAACAGAGCAGCCCACCCGGACCGGGCAGGCCGACUCGUUUCGCUCACCCAUUUGGU
rnacentral:lncRNA from 7 species